rnacentral:rRNA from 1 species
AUUGAACGCUGGCGGCAUGCCUUACACAUGCAGGUCGAACGGUAACAGGUCUUCGGAUGCUGACGAGUGGCGAACGGGUGAGUGAUACAUCGGAACGUGCCUAGUAGUGGGGGAUAACUACUCGAAAGAGUGGCUAAUACCGCAUGAGAUCUACGGACGAAAGCAGGGGAUCGCAAGACCUUGUGCUACUAGAGCGGCCGAUGGCAGAUUAGGUAGUUGGUGGGAUAAAAGCUUACCAAGCCGACGAUCUGUAGCUGGUCUGAGAGGACGAUCAGCCACACUGGGACUGAGACACGGCCCAGACUCCUACGGGAGGCAGCAGUGGGGAAUUUUGGACAAUGGGCGCAAGCCUGAUCCAGCAAUGCCGCGUGCAGGAUGAAGGCCUUCGGGUUGUAAACUGCUUUUGUACGGAACGAAAAGCCCUGGGUUAAUACCCUGGGGUCAUGACGGUACCGUAAGAAUAAGCACCGGCUAACUACGUGCCAGCCGCCGCCGUAACAC